UACGGCCAUAUUGCAUUGAAAAACCGGUUCUCGUCAGAUCACCAAAGUUAAGCAAUGUCGAGCUUGGCCAGUAACUAGAUGGGUCACCGCUUGGAAUUGCCAGGUGCUGUAA